UACGGAGGGUGCAAACGUUGCUCGGAAUCAUUGGGCGUAAAGCGCACGUAGGCGGCCUGAUAAGUCGGAUGUGAAAGCCCUGGGCUCAACCCAGGAAGUGCAUUCGAAACUGCCAGGCUUGAAUAUGGAAGAGGGUCGCGGAAUUCCCGGUGUAGAGGUGAAAUUCGUAGAUAUCGGGAGGAACACCAGUGGCGAAGGCGGCGACCUGGGCCAAUAUUGACGCUGAGGUGCGAAAGCGCGGGGAGCAAACAGG
rnacentral:rRNA from 1 species